ACCUGGGUGGCUCAGUUGAUUAAGCAUCUGACUUCGGCUCAGGUCAUGAUCUCACAGUUCAUGGGUUCAAGUCCCACCCCAGACU
rnacentral:tRNA from 1 species